rnacentral:rRNA from 1 species
UACGUAGGGGGCAAGCGUUGUCCGGAAUCAUUGGGCGUAAAGCGCGUGUAGGCGGCUUGAUAAGUCUGCUCUGAAAGCCCGGGGCUCAACCCCGGGAGGCGGGCGGAUACUGUCGGGCUAGAGUCCGGAAGAGGCGAGUGGAAUUCCUGGUGUAGCGGUGAAAUGCGCAGAUAUCAGGAGGAACACCAACAGCGAAGGCAGCACUCUGGGCCGGUACUGACGCUGAGGAGCGAAAGCAUGGGGAGCGAACAGG